rnacentral:rRNA from 1 species
UACGGAGGAUGCAAGCGUUAUCCGGAAUGAUUGGGCGUAAAGCGUCCGCAGGUGGCAAUGUAAGUCUGCUGUCAAAGCGUCUGGCUCAACCAGAUAAAGGCAGUGGAAACUACAUAGCUAGAGUAAGGUAGGGGUAGAGGGAAUUCCUGGUGUAGCGGUGAAAUGCGUAGAGAUCAGGAAGAACACCCGUGGCUAAGGCGGCUCUCUAGUACGGUACUGACGCUGAGACGCGAAAGCGUGGGGAGCGAACAGG